GUUUAAUUUAUGUGAAAAUGGAAAUAAUUCUUUUAAGUGGAUUAAUUAUGUAAAAUCUAUAUUUGAUGAAACUGGUAACAGUGAAAUUUGGCAGGUACAAGGAAACGUUAAUUUGAAUUUUUUAAAAUUUAACGUUAAACAAAUACUCCAUGACCAGUUCAUACAAAAAUGGUUUUCGGAUAUCGAUAACUCAUCAAGGGGG
rnacentral:lncRNA from 1 species